rnacentral:rRNA from 1 species
AGAGUUUGAUCAUGGCUCAGAUUGAACGCUGGCGGAAUGCUUAACACAUGCAAGUCGAGCGGCAGCAUGCCCUUCGGGGUGAUGGCGAGCGGCGGACGGGUGAGUAAUACAUAGGAAUCUGCCCUAGAGUGGGGGAUAGCCCGGGGAAACUCGGAUUAAUACCGCAUAAUCUCUACGGAGCAAAGUGGGGGAUCUUCGGACCUCACGCUUUAGGAUGAGCCUAUGGCCGAUUAGCUUGUUGGUGAGGUAACGGCUCACCAAGGCCACGAUCGGUAGCUGGUUUGAGAGGAUGAUCAGCCACACUGGGACUGAGACACGGCCCAGACUCCUACGGGAGGCAGCAGUGGGGAAUAUUGGACAAUGGGCGAAAGCCUGAUCCAGCAAUUCCGCGUGUGUGAAGAAGGCCUUAGGGUUGUAAAGCACUUUAAUCAGGGAAGAAAAAGCUUUGGCUAAUAUCCAAAGCCUUGACGGUACCUGAAGAAUAAGCACCGGCAAACUCUGUGCCAGCCGGCCGCGGUAAUUC